rnacentral:rRNA from 1 species
UCGAACGGGAUCCAUGAGCAAUCGUGGUGAGAGUGGCGCACGGGUGAGUAACGCGUAUGCAACCUACCUUUAACAGAGGGACAGCCCAUAGAAAUGUGGAUUAAUACCUCAUAGUUCUUUUGGUCCGCAUGGAUUGAAAGGUAAAGCUGAGGCGGCUAAAGAUGGGCAUGCGUGACAUUAGCUAGUUGGUAAGGUAACGGCUUACCAAGGCUACGAUGUCUAGGGGUUCUGAGAGGAUGAUCCCCCACACUGGUACUGAGACACGGACCAGACUCCUACGGGAGGCAGCAGUGGGGAAUAUUGGUCAAUGGGCGCAAGCCUGAACCAGCCAUCCCGCGUGAAGGAUGAAGGUCCUAUGGAUUGUAAACUUCUUUUAUACACCAAGAAAAAUCCCGACGUGUUGGGACCUGACUGUAGUGUAUGAAUAAGCAUCGGCUAACUCCGUGCCAGCAGCCGCGGUAAUACGGAGGAUGCAAGCGUUAUCCGGAUUCAUUGGGUUUAAAGGGUGCGUAGGCGGCUUUUUAAGUCAGUGGUGAAAUCUUGCCGCUUAACGGUAAAAUUGCCAUUGAUACUGACAAGCUUGAGUACAGUUGAGGUAGGCGGAAUGUGUAGUGUAGCGGUGAAAUGCUUAGAUAUUACACAGAACACCGAUUGCGAAGGCAGCUUACUAAACUGUUACUGACGCUAAUGCACGAAAGCGUGGGGAGCGAACAGGAUUAGAUACCCUGGUAGUCCACGCCGUAAACGAUGCUCACUCGCUGUAUGCGAUA